AUGAACUCGGUGUCGGUGCUGAAAGUGUGCACGUGCCUGUUAUUUGCACUCACGAUCCCUGCCAGCGGUCAGAUCGGUCGGUUGUUGAACGAUGAGGAAGGGCAACCGCGUGCCGGUGGCGUUCCCGGCGUCCCAGCGCCCGCCCCCACGCCACCAACAAUCAACAACAACAAUCGACCAUCGAUGUUCCCCCCUCCACCUAAACCAGCCCCAAGACCUCCAACCCCCGAUCCACCGUCCCCGACGGUAGGCUGUUUCCCGUGCUGCCUCAACUGCUUGGUUCUGGCUCCGUCAAGCCCGAAUAGACCUGGCGCCCCGGCGCUCCCUGGACCCUUCGGGGACAUGGGUGGACUUGGAGCCAUCACGGGCAAAUUUCAAAAAUUGAUCCGAACCGUCAAAUGCAUAGUCGGUUGUGUUACGAAUUGCAAUUUCCCGUAACAUGUCGGGGACAACCUCAGUUCGUUUCAUUUCGAAAUUAAAGGAUUUUGUAACGACGAUGUUUUCUCGAUUCUUUCCCGCCCCCAAGUAGCACAGUGCGAUGAAAAUGGACGUAUUUCUGUCAAAUAGAACUAACCGCCAUCGGGGGAGGAAGGUAGAGGGGGCCUUGAAUUGGCGGCAGAACCGGGCGUCGGGCUCAUUCCGUCCUAUACUCGCAAUGCUUUUCCAUGGCGCUUAGUUCCGUUUGAUAGAACGCACUAUCCGGCAUUCUAAAUUCCUCAAAAGAAACUCAAAUUGGCGCUUAGUUCCAUUUGGUAGAAAUACGUCCAAAUAUUGAAAUAAUUUGCGAUUUAUUGCAGUAAAAUUGAAAUUUUUUACCGUGAAAUUGCAAAACUUUUACAUCAUUAUUUGGCCCAUAAAUGUCGGUUUUUAACAACCGACGAAGUAAAUUCCGUGUGUCAGAAAGAUUCGUGAUAAUGCAAUGAAAAUUGCAAUUUAUUUUAAUUUUAUUGCAAUCAAUUUCAAUGAGCCGUGCGCCUUCAAUCAGUAGAUGGGCAACAUGCGCAACACAUCGAUGCUGAGGUGGCAAUAAUUUGAUUAAAUUGCAAUUGAAUGCAAUCUGUGCUACCUAGACCUGAAUUUAAAGAGCGGAGACAAUAUAAGAAAUCCUGCACUAGCAGUCCAAGUAAUGUAAUCGGGUGAGGAAAAGUUAGAUCAGUAGGUCGACGCUACUUCUCACCUAAUGAUACUUGAUGAGCAACAUUUGAGCAAAAAAUCAAAUAAAAUUCGCCUAACGAUGACUGAUGAAUAUUAAGGUGAGUAGUUAGAUGGGCGAGUUUUUGCAGAAAUGUUUAGGAUUGCCAUGCUGAGCUCAUCACUCAACUCUUUGGUCAUCAGUCAUCAUUAAGAGAAUCUGAGCGUCGAUUUUCAAAAUUAACUUUAACAUUAUGGAGAAGAUGUCAGUGCAGGGUCUCUAAAAUAUAUUGUCUCUGUCACCAAGAAACCCAGUGCGGCUUCCCUAUAAGGAGAGGAGGUGUUCACCGGUGACUAUGAAUACAGCCAUCGGUGAACUCUCCUGGAUAUGCUGCAUGCCGUCUUACCAAAAUCAGUAGUAACCCUUUGAGUAUAAGUUUAGAGAGAAAAAAACAUAGUGGUGUCCGAGCGGGAAAUUCAAACGAGCAAGUUCUCCAGUUCUCAACUGGCAACUCUCGAAUUUUCAUACAGCGUUUUUCCUUAGCUCGACAGAGCAGUUAUCGUUAAAAUAUUGCCUAAAAAAACCAAAGUUUCCACAAAAGUCUCAGACGACAACAUAAAAAAAUCAAAAUAAAGGCUCUCCUGCACGUACAAACU
rnacentral:lncRNA from 1 species